rnacentral:rRNA from 1 species
UGGGGAAUUUUGGACAAUGGGCGAAAGCCUGAUCCAGCAAUGCCGCGUGUGUGAAGAAGGCCUUCGGGUUGUAAAGCACUUUUGUCCGGAAAGAAAUCCUUGGCUCUAAUACAGUCGGGGGAUGACGGUACCGGAAGAAUAAGCACCGGCUAACUACGUGCCAGCAGCCGCGGUAAUACGUAGGGUGCAAGCGUUAAUCGGAAUUACUGGGCGUAAAGCGUGCGCAGGCGGUUUGCUAAGACCGAUGUGAAAUCCCCGGGCUCAACCUGGGAACUGCAUUGGUGACUGGCAGGCUAGAGUAUGGCAGAGGGGGGUAGAAUUCCACGUGUAGCAGUGAAAUGCGUAGAGAUGUGGAGGAAUACCGAUGGCGAAGGCAGCCCCCUGGGCCAAUACUGACGCUCAUGCACGAAAGCGUGGGGAGCAAACAGGAUUAGAUACCCUGGUAGUCCACGCCCUAAACGAUGUCAACUAGUUGUUGGGGAUUCAUUUCCUUAGUAACGUAGCUAACGCGUGAAGUUGACCGCCUGGGGAGUACGGUCGCAAGAUUAAAACUAAAGGAAUUGACGGGGUCAUAGCUGUUUCCU